UGGGGAAUAUUGGACAAUGGGCGAAAGCCUGAUCCAGCAAUGCCGCGUGAGUGAUGAAGGCCUUAGGGUUGUAAAGCUCUUUUACCCGGGAUGAUAAUGACAGUACCGGGAGAAUAAGCCCCGGCUAACUCCGUGCCAGCAGCCGCGGUAAUACGGAGGGGGCUAGCGUUGUUCGGAAUUACUGGGCGUAAAGCGCACGUAGGCGGCUUUGUAAGUUAGAGGUGAAAGCCCGGGGCUCAACUCCGGAAUUGCCUUUAAGACUGCAUCGCUAGAAUUGUGGAGAGGUAAGUGGAAUUCCGAGUGUAGAGGUGAAAUUCGUAGAUAUUCGGAAGAACACCAGUGGCGAAGGCGACUUACUGGACACAUAUUGACGCUGAGGUGCGAAAGCGUGGGGAGCAAACAGGAUUAGAUACCCCCGUAGUCC
rnacentral:rRNA from 1 species